CCUCCUUAUACGAUUUAGAACUUAUUUGUUCGUAGUGUCCACACAGAUGAUUGUUAGUUAGUUUCACCUUUGGGUUUAACUGAUUAAUAUGCUCUUUAAAAAUUUGGAAAAGCUGAUAAUAAAAUUCGUAUGAAUACAGUGUAUUUGUACAGAGUUUUCAAAAGUAAAAAAGAAUGAUAGCAGUAUCAUUCAGUGCCAUUUAAUAAACGUUUCGUUUGUUGAUUGGUAUCUACUUUAGUAUUCAAUAUUAACUUCUGGCGAAGUUAAACUGUCACAAAACAAAGACCCGUUUGGGUUGUAUGGUUAAGUGACUAAGCGUACACGGUGGAUGCCUUGGCAGUUGGAGGCGAUGAAGGACGUAUUAACUUGCGAUAAGCCUAGUCAAGCUAGUAAAAAGCACUA
rnacentral:misc_RNA from 1 species